ACGAACACACAUUCCACACUUUCAACUUUUGUUAUUCUUUGAUGUAAGUUCGGUAAAUUGUGUUAUAUUUCCUGGUCGCCGGUGAUAAUUAGUGUUAAUAAACGUGUUUGAUCUUUUAUCAGCUGUUUACCGCGUGUGUAAUCUUCAUAAUUCUAAAUUUUGCUUGUUUAAUUUAUUCUCGUGUUCGUGAGUCCGUUGCAGUCGGGCGAUAUUUUGUGAACGCUAAUAAUUAAUUGACUUGUGAAAAACAUAUUUGUCACCAACAGAGGAGCAUGGAUCAAUGUGCUAUCAGUAUUCGCCAACUUGCCGUCGAUAUACCGUCUUCCAUAAGCGUGCUUCCUUUGAUUGCCCUUUGCCCCGGUAAGUUUUUAAAUAUUAUUACAUCAUUAUCACAUUAGUCGCAUGUAGUGAGAGUACCGUAAUACUCGUAAGUUAAAAUUGUCGCGUGCCGUCGGCUGCGUUUUCGAUCUUGCCUCAGAAUGUGGUUUUCACUGUUCGUCUCAGCUCUGAUUGUUCCUUUGCAUUCAAAAUACUGUAAUCGCGUUGAUGCGUUUAAAUGCGAUUUAAAUAUCUUAACGCAAAUCGUGUAUCAUGCCGUUGGUCAGCACUUUUCUAUGGUUGAGCCGGAUCAAGAGAUCGCGUCGCAAAGGAAAUCUCAAAAUGCAAUAAAAUUCAUUAUAGUGUUUAAUUAAUAUAAACAUUUAAAAAAAUUGUAUAUAUAUAUAUAUAUAUAUAUAUAUAUCAUCCUACCUUCUCUACUUUUACUUUUCUUAGAUAUUUUCUCCCGCUUUAGUGUUGUUUUAGUAGUUUGUAGUUGUAUUUAUGAUGUGUUGCCUUCUUUUCACUUUCUUUCCAUAUUCAUUAGGAAAUUUGUAAAAUUUUGUAGCUGUUAAUUUUGUUGAUUUUUUUAAUACAUAGUCUCAUUUUCCUUUUUGUAACAUCCUGUAUAUGGGUUUUUCUUGAUGAACAAAAAUUUAUAAAAAUUGAUCAUUUUGUAUGUUUUCCGCUUGAUCGUGGGAUUUUAUUUUUAAAUGUUUAAAUUUUUCUUAUGUAUCACCCUGUAUAUUUAUUUCCCCCUAAUUUCCAGUCAGUACUUGACUACAUUAGUUUUUCCAGGUGUUUUCCCUUGAUCGCAGUAUUUUAUUUUUAAAUCUAGUAAUUUUUUGUAUCACCCUGUAUACUCGUUUUUCUUCAUUUCCAAUCUGUCACUGACCACGUUAAUUGUCCGGGUGUUUUACUUUUUAAACUUUAUAUUUUCUUUCUGUGUCACCCAGUAUAUCACUUUUCCUUAACAUCCUGG